rnacentral:rRNA from 1 species
CCUACGGGAUGCAGCAGUGAGGAAUAUUGGUCAAUGGUCGGGAGACUGAACCAGCCAAGCCGCGUGAGGGAUGACGGUACAGAGUAUCGUAAACCUCUUUUGUCAGGGAACAAAGGCGGGGACGUGUCCCCGGAUGAGUGUACCUGAAGAAAAAGCAUAGGCUAACUCCGUGCCAGCAGCCGCGGUAAUACGGAGGAUGCGAGCGUUAUCCGGAUUUAUUGGGUUUAAAGGGUGCGCAGGCGGUCUGUUAAGUCAGCGGUCAAAGCCCGGGGCUCAACCCCGGCCCGCCGUUGAAACUGGCAGUCGCGAGUUGGAGAGAAGUAUGCGGAAUGCGCGGUGUAGCGGUGAAAUGCAUAGAUAUCGCGCAGAACUCCGAUUGCGAAGGCAGCAUGCCGGCUCCACACUGACGCUGAGGCACGAAAGCGUGGGUAUCGAACAGGAUUAGAUACCCGAGUAGUC